AAUGGGCGCAAGCCUGAUCCAGCAAUGCCGCGUGCAGGAAGAAGGCCUUCGGAUUGUAAACCCCUUUCGGGAGGGAAGAUGGAGCGAGCAAUCGUUCGGACGGUACCUCCAGAAGCAGCCACGGCCAACUUCGUGCCAGCAGCCGCGGUAAUACGAAGGUGGCAAGCGUUGUUCGGAUUCACUGGGCGUACAGGGUGUGUAAGCGGUUUGGUAAGCCUUCUGUUAAAGCUUCGGGCCCAACCCGGAAAGCGCAGAGGGUACUGCCAGGCUAGAGGGUGGGAGAGGAGCGCGGAAUUCCCGGUGUAGCGGUGAAAUGCGUAGAGAUCGGGAGGAAGGCCGGUGGCGAAGGCGGCGCUCUGGAACAUACCUGACGCUGAGACACGAAAGCGUGGGGAGCAAA
rnacentral:rRNA from 1 species